ensembl:misc_RNA Metazoa_SRP Metazoan signal recognition particle RNA
GCCAGGCGUGGUGGCACGUGUCUGUGUUCCCAGCCACUCAGGAGGCUGAGGCAGGAGGAUCGGCGAGCCCAGGAGCUCUGGGCUGCAGUGCACAAUGCUGACUGAGUGUGCACACUAAGUUUGGCACCAAGAUGGUGACCUCCCAGGAGAAGAGGACCACCAGGUUGCCGAAGGAGGGGUGAUCCGGCCCAGGUCAGAAACAGAGCAGGUUAAAAUCCCGUGCUGAUCAGUAGUGGGACUGUGUCUGUGAACAGCCACUGCACUCUAGUCUGGACAACAUAGUGAGACCCCAUCUCUU